AAGUCGUAACAAGGUUUCCGUAGGUGAACCUGCGGAAGGAUCAUUAACACGUAUCCAACGUUAAACCCCCCGUGAACCUUCAGUGCGCUCGCACUUUCUUAGAAAAGGUAGCAAUCCCUGGUAAAUCAUUGCCGAACAGUUUUGAUUCAGGGACUUCUGCGUAGACUGUGCUUGAGCGUGAGGCAAGUGGCCUGGCAUUCCUCUGCUUGUUGGUGUCUGAAAGUGUCACCAGCUCUGUACGAAUGGCGCAGUCACGAUCGCUAGAGCACUGGGCGCGAGCCCCCCUCGUCACCUUUGCAUGAAAACGGGCCUGCGCUUAAUUGUGCGGCCACCAAACUCGAACAACUGUUAACAAUGGAUAUCUUGGUUCUC
rnacentral:misc_RNA from 1 species